ensembl:snoRNA
CCUCCUUUUCUUGGCGGGGUCUGGGCAUGUGGUGCCGCUCACUGUUAUGUGCAGAGGCAGAGGAAAAGGGCCAUGGCCCUACCGGAGUCAUGUCUUCAGUGCCAUCGGCUCCCUGUCUGUCAGUUCUAUCCUCAAACACCAGGACACGG